rnacentral:rRNA from 1 species
GAUGAACGCUGGCGGCGUGCCUAAUACAUGCAAGUCGAGCGAACGGACGAGAAGCUUGCUUCUCUGAUGUUAGCGGCGGACGGGUGAGUAACACGUGGAUAACCUACCUAUAAGACUGGGAUAACUUCGGGAAACCGUAGCUAGUACCGGAUAAUAUUUUGAACCGCAUGGUUCAAAAGUGAAAGACGGUCUUGCUGUCACUUAUAGAUGGAUCCGCGCUGCAUUAGCUAGUUGGUAAGGUAACGGCUUACCAAGGCAACGAUGCAUAGCCGACCUGAGAGGGUGAUCGGCCACACUGGAACUGAGACACGGUCCAGACUCCUACGGGAGGCAGCAGUAGGGAAUCUUCCGCAAUGGGCGAAAGCCUGACGGAGCAACGCCGCGUGAGUGAUGAAGGUCUUCGGAUCGUAAAACUCUGUUAUUAGGGAAGAACAUAUGUGUAAGUAACUGUGCACACCUUGACGGUACCUAAUCAGAAAGCUACGGCUAACUACGUG